rnacentral:rRNA from 1 species
GACAGAGGGUGCAAACGUUGUUCGGAAUACUGGGCGUAAGGCGUGUGUAGGCGGUCUCAUAAGUCGGGUGUGAAAGCCCCGGGCUCAACCCGGGAAGUGCACUCGAAACUGCGAGGCUAGAGUACUGGAGAGGUUGGUGGAAUUCUCGGUGUAGAGGUGAAAUUCGUAGAUAUCGAGAGGAACACCGGUGGCGAAGGCGGCCAACUGGACAGAUACUGACGCUGAGACACGAAAGCGUGGGGAGCAAACAGG